UGUGAGUCCUACUCCUAUGCACUAGUGUUGAAAGCAACCCCCAGCUUUUUUGCAAGCUGUGGCAGCUGUGAAAUGUCUGGACAGCAGAGAGUGUUGUGCUGUUGGCUCGUGCAUCAUAAUGCAGUGGGGGUAGAAGCACAUCAUUGUGUAAUGGAAUAAUUUGCUUUCUCCCUGGUUUCUAGACACAUCACAAAAUAAACACAGCAGUAAAAUGAAGCGUAAAGCGUAUUCGUGAGUUUUGAGUCGCAUUACUGUCGCUCGCGAGGCUGUGUGACCUUAAGCCUGUCACAAACUCUUUUUUUUUUUUUUACCUCUGGCAUUCUUAUCUGUUAAAUGGGAUGUCUUUCCUCAGUUGUUUUUCAAAUAGGAUCAUGUACACCAGAGGGGCCUAGUCGAUCGUCUGUCCUCUAUGCACUACCUGCAAACGUCUUAUCUUUUACUCAUAGUGAACCUUAACUGUUGCCAUCAUUUGAAAAAUCAGAAGAUGUGGGGCGCCCGGGUGGCUCAGUCCAUUAAGCUUCUGCCUUUAGCUCAGGUCAUGAUCCCAGUGUCCUGGGGUCGAGUCCUGCAUUGGGCUCCCUGCUCAGUGGGGAGCCUACUUCUCUCUCUGCCUGCCACUCCCCCUACUUGUGCUCUCUCUCUCCUCUCUCUCUCUCCUCUCUCUCUCUUUCUCUGACAAAUAAAUAAAUAAAAUCUUUUUUAAAAAGUCAGAAGGUGUUACACUGAAAAAAAUCAAGAUUUCUAGAUUCUCUAGAAACAGGAUUAUCUGGCAACACCACUCCCCUGUUCCCACGUGGCAACUAAAGGCUAUGACACAGCCCCUUCUCCUUUAGAUAGCAGUCUUUGCUACAGUAUACUUCAGUCCCCAUCUGGCCUGCUUUACACACUUCUGUUGCCUGCCUUGUCCCCGUAAGCGUUGAGUUUGUCACCUUUGAUGUUUAUAAAAACACAUUGAGUUUUAGCUGCAAUGUCCUUGACAAACACACUCAAUUUGGACCUUGAAAACCAGCUUUCUAAUACUGGUUCUUAAACUUCUGGAGAUCAUGGAAAUUUACUGGGUGAGAGUAAUUUCCCUGUGCAUUAAAAUGUUCAUAACAAUAGUUAUAUAAUGGAAUUAUUGAAAUAAUUUGUAUAAAAGUAUUUUGUAACAAUGAAACACUAAAACACUAAAUCUGUCAUGAUGAUUUGGUACUUCGCAUACUUCUUUUUAAGGACAAAUACAAGAGACUUUAUUCAUUAGACCUUAAGUUGACCAAUAUUUCAAAAUCUGAUGUAGCAAGACUUUAUAAGGUGAAUUACAUAGAAUAUUUGUUUCUAAAUUUUGUUAUGGGAGGAUCUGUUAAACUGCAUUUUUCCUCAAUUUUUUGAGUAAAGAAGUAGAGAUAAUGAUUCACAAGAAUAUUGUAAAAUAAAAUAUAUGUUCAAAAGUUAUUUGUGUUAGCUUGAAAAAGAGUUGUACAUCAACCAAUGGAGGCUCCAAUACUACAUACCUUUCUUUAUUGAUCUUUUUUCAAAUCUUCCAUUGUCUUUUCCAGGAUAUCUCGGUUACAAAUGAAUUUUAAAUGAGGUAACCAUGUUGUAAUAGAUUGAAAAUACGUAUCACAGGGCCUUGCUCAUUUUAGGAGUUCAAAGAAUGUUAAAGCUCAAUGAAACAGAACAAGAGCAGAAACAAAAAUAAAAUCUGGUUUUGCUACUUGACCUGAGUUGCCCCGUUCCCUUGCUUUAAACAAUCAGGAAUAAAUUGUGAUUGAUAAUGAUGCCUUGAAAUUAAUAACAUCCUCCUGCAAAGAGUAGGGAAUAUUUUAUAAUUCUUCCUAAUUAUGUAUGUCAUUACCUACUUUCUCAUUCAUCUGUUUAAUAUCCUCCAUGAGGCAGGCAGAAUCGGGUAUAUAGUAUUACUUAAUUUUGUAUGAGAUAAAAGGAAAAUAGAGAGAUUCAGUGCCUUUUCCAGGGUCAAUCAGUAGAACUGGUAGAAGAACUGUGGCUGUAACAGUUAGAUUACCUGAAUCGUCAGUCCUCUUGACAAGAAAAAAAUCUUCUGGGGCACCUGGGUGGCUCAGUCAGUUAAGCGUCUGCCUUCGGCUCAGAUCAUGAUCCCAGGGUCCUGGGAUUGAGCCCUGCAUUGGGUUCCCUGCUCAGUGGAGAGCCUGCUUUUCCAAUUCCCUCUGCUGCUCCCCACUUGCGUUCUCUCUCUCUGUCAAAUAAAUAAAUAAAAUCUUGAAAAAAAAAGAAAAAAAUCUUCUGAGUCCUUGAUAUACUUUAAGCAUUUAAAAUAUGUUUAUUAACUGUAAAAGACUUUUGAGUCUGUAAAAUGCUUCAUGACACCAAAUAAUAACUAUAUCUUUACAAUAGAAAAAGCAAAGUUAUUCAUUUCUUCAUUGAACAGUCAUUUAUUAAAUACAACAAAAAUCACACAAAAAUAUCUAAAGGUAAACAGCAAACUGUGUAAUUACCACAAAUGUAACAAAGCAUUAUAUCUGUAUUUAUUCAUUAGUAAAAGAGCUUAUAUGAAUGGAUAAGAAAACCACUAAAACCUGAAUGAAAACUGUAUAAGGGAUAUGAAAAUAUAAUUUACACACACACAAAACUAAAAUGACUAAUCCAGUAUAGACAGAGCAUUCUCUGUAGUAACCACAACUCAUGAGUCCUCAGUGGUUCCUCACUGUUCUGAAAAUAGGGCCAAAUUUCUUGGCAUGCCAUACACAUUCUUCUAAUAACACGAUCCCUUAUUCUCUAGCUAUACCGUUCACCACCCCAUCUCCUCACAUUCCACCCUGCCCUCCUGCAUUUCAACCAGUUCUCAGGAUCCAUCGUGCUAUGCUGUCUCUUACCCCACUACAAUCCCAACAUCCCUUACCCCUUUCUAUUCCAGAAUAUGCAAAAUGUAAAUCAGUUACAAAGCAUGCUAUUUAGUUCAAAUGACAUUUUUUUUUUUUUUUGUAGCAAGAGUUUCUGGAGAAAGGAAGCCGUGCAUUGAUUUAUAUUCUGCUACAACCUCCUUAUUUUAUUGGCAAACAGUAACAGUUUGUCUGUAGGUUACAUUGUGAGUAGUACUGUGAUACAGUAUGUGAUUGUGUGCAUAUGUUGUAAGGAAAGUCCCAUCCUCAAUUUACUCGGUCUUUUUUUUUUUUAAAAGAUUUUAUUUAUUUAUUUGAGAGAGAGAAUGGAAGAGAGAGAACGAGAUGGGGGAGGGUCAGAGAGAGAGGCAGACUCCCCGCUGAGCAGGGAGCCCGAUGCGGGACUCGAUCCUGGGACUCCAGGAUCAUGACCUGAGCCGAAGGCAGUCGCUUAACCAACUGAGCCACCCAGGUGCCCCUCAAUUUACUCAGUCUUACAGUGAGAGUAACAAUGCCCACCUGAGUGUUGCCCACCUGAGUGUUUCCCAUAUCUCACAGUGGGAAGAGUCCUAACUACCGUGUGUUACUUUAGAGAUGAUCCUUCUGGUAGAUGUUCAGUGGUACAGUAGCAAUGGAAUAAUUAUUAGAUCCCUUUCUGGUCCCUUCCUUUUUUCUCCCUCUUAAAUGAAUAGUGUCAGAAAUAAACUUAUAUUCCAACAAACCAAAGUCCAGGGCCAGAUGGCUUCACUGGUGAAUUCUACCAAAUAUUCAAAGAUUUAAUACCUAUCCUUCUCAAACUCUUCCAAAAAAUUGAAAAGGAGGGAAUGCUUUCAAGCUCAUUUCAUAAGGCUAGCAUUAACCCUGAUACCAAACCUGGACAAGGACACCACAAAAAAAGAAAAUUAUAGGCUAAUAUUCCUAAUACAUAGAUACAGAAAUCCUCAACAAAAUAUUAGCAAACCAAAUUCAACAAUAUAUCGAAAGGAUCAUACACCAUGAUCAAAUGGAAUUUAUUUGAAGGACGCAAGGAUGGUCCAACAUCUGCAAAUCAAUCAGUGUGAUAUACCACAUUAGCAAAAUAAAGGAUGAAAAUCAAUGAUCAUCUCAAUAGAUGCAGAAAAAGCAUUGACAAAAUUUAACACCCAUUUAUGAUAAAAACUCAAUGAAGUGGGUAUACAAGAGAUGUAUCUCAAUACAAUAAAGACCUAUAUCUGACAAACCCACAGUUGACAUCAUACACAAUAGUGAAAAGAUGAAAGCCUUUCCUCUAAUAUCAGGAACAUGACUAUAAUGCCACUUUUAUUCAAUGUGGUAUUGGAAAUCCUAGUCAUAACAAUUAGGCAAGAAAAAGAAGUAAAAGUAAUCCAAAUUUAAAGGAAGAAGUAAAACUGUCACUAUUUGGGGAUGGCAUGUACUAUAUAUAGAAAACCCAAAAGACUCUACCAAAAUGCUGUUAAAACUAAUAAACAAAUUCAGUGAAGUUCCAGGAUACAAAAUCGGUGUACAGAAAUUUGCUGCAUUCUACACAUGAAUAAUAAGCUAUGAGAAAGAGAAAUUUAGAAAACAAUCCCAUUUAUAAUUGCAUCAAAAAGAAUAAAAUACCUAGGAAUAAAUUUAGCCAAGGAAGUCAAAGACCUGUACAAUGAAAACUAUAAGACCCUGGUAAAAGAAAUUGAAGAAGACAUAAAUAAAUGGAAAGCUAUUCCAUGCUCAUGGAUUGGAAAAAUUAACAUUGUUAAAAUAUCAAAACAAAUCUGAUUCAGUGCAAUUCCUGUCAAAAUCCCGAUGGUAUUUUAUACAGAGCUAGGACAGAUAAUUCCAAAAUUCCUACGGAACCACAAAAGACCCGGAAUAGCCAAAGUGAUUUUGAGAAAGGAGAACAAAACUGGAGGUGUCAUGCUCCCUGAUUUCAAACCAUAUUAUAAAACUAUGGUAAUCAAAACAGUAUGAUAUCAACAUAAAAAUAGACACAUAGGUCAAUGGAACAGAAUAGAGAGCCCAGAAAUAAACCUAUACAUUAUAUGGUCAAGUAAUUUAUGACAAAGGAGCUAAGAAUAUACAAUGAAGAAAUAGCAGUCUCUGCAAGAAAUGGUGUUGGGAAAACUGAACGGCCACAUGCAAAAGAAUGAACCUAGACUACUCUGUUACACUAAACACAAAAACUAACUCAAAAUGGAUUAAAGACUUGAAUGUAAGACCUGAAAUCAUAAAAUUCCGAGAAGAAAACAUAGAUGACAUUGGUCUUAGCAAUGUUUUUUGGCUAUGACUUAAAAGGCAAAGGAAACAAAAGCAAAAAUUUUUGAAAAAUGGGAGUACAACAAACAAAAGCUUCUGCACAUGGAUGGAAGUUGACAUAUUAUGCUAAGUGAAAUAGGUCAGAUAGAGAAAGACAAAAUAACUGAUGAUUUUACUUAUAUGUGGAAUCUAAAAUACAAAACAAAACAAAACAAACUCAUGUAUACAGAAAACAAACUGGUGGUUACCAGAGGGGAAGGGAGUUGAAGGGUGGGUAAAAUGGGUGAUGAGUGGUAACUAGAUUUAUGCUAGUGAUCAUUUUGUAGUGUAUACAAAUAUCAAAUUAUAAUGUGCACCUGAAACUUAUGUAAUGUUAUAUCCCAAUAUUAUCUCAAUAAAAAAGAAGUAAACUCGCAGAUCAUUACAGCACAAAGGACCUUAGAAGAGACCAGUUGGUAUAAUGUAGACUCUAUGACCACUCUUCUAUGUGCUACAUGUUUUCUUGCUCAACACUCGCCUCAUUUACAAAUAAAGAUUUGAUGUUCACCUUCCCCAGGUGAUUGAGCUCUAUGAGGUCUGUCACUCUGUGGGAGAAAAUUGCCCAGUCCCUGCUUCCCCUUGUUUGAUAAACUGCCUGAUACAAAGUACCUCUGAAUAGCUAAAUGGUUACAUGAAUGAGUCAGUUAUACCUCAGAAAACUGAGGGUGACAAAGUUAUACAAAUCAUAUAAAGGAGUUACUGAAAUUAGGAGGGGACGAUGAAACCUACAUAUUCUCCUUCUAAGUUACUUAUAAGCAGGGUGAUUAAUAUCAGCUAGAUCUUAUUGUCAUUCUGUAGUAAGUACCACCAAGAAACACAAAGCCAAGAACAGAGCCAGUGAGUGGAAGGCACAAGUGGCUGGCUGGUUGGGUGUCAGUCUGCUCUUUAAGGAAGGAAUUAAGGACUGGCCUCUUCAUUGAGGUGUCCUUUGAGCAGAAAUCUGAAAAUAGUGAGGAGGUGAUUCAUGAUGGACAUCUGGAGCAAUUGUUCUAGACGUGGGGAAAAAUUGAGGAAGAGCGAAGGAGUUGGCAUUGCUAGCAUAUAGGAGCUUUGGGAGUUAGGAGAAUUUUAGACAUUAAGGUUACAGAGAUGAAUGUUGUGGUGGGGAAGAUAAUAGGUUCUCACAGAUAAUCGUAAGGGUGGGAAAAUAUUGGAGAGUUUGACAUGGUGAGAUUUAUACAUUUUCAUAGGACUUUUCUGCCUGCUGUGUGGAGAACAGGGGACAGAGCCGAAGAAGGGAAAUCAUUCAGAACACCAGCACAACAGUCCAGGAGAGAAAUGGCACACUUAAUCACAUGCUAUGUCCACUGCAAGGGAAGCUUGGAAAUGUGAUCUAGCUGUAUCCUGAAAGGGUAGGGAAAGCGGAGGUUUGGAGACCUCACAGUCUCUGUCAUGGGAUUCUUUAAAUCCCACUCCAGAUGAGUAGUUUACUGGGAGAGUGUCCUCCUGUGUAUGGCUUCAGUUCAAUCUAUUUGAGUACUUACGUUGUAAUGAAACUAGGAAUAGUCUCCCUCCCUGCACCCCUUUGGCAUGUGACCACAGAGAAGCAGUGGUUCUCUGAUGCACAUACAAACUGCAGAUCAGUCUCAAAUACGAAUUUUGUUUGCACUUUUAAAGCAAUCACCAUUGUUCCAACAGCCUUGUGAAUCAAGAAGGACAUUUUAUUAGGGACAAGAAAGGGAAAGAGCAGAGAAAUGACACAAUGGAUGACCACAAGGUUAUCCCUGUGGCUUUACUUAUCCACAGUGUACAUUCUGAAGUCUGCAUGCUUGUGUGCGCACAAAGGCAGCCAUUCACCAGCCACACAGGCAGGCACACACACACACACACACACACACACUUUGACAAUCUUCCCUUCUUCACAGAGAACAUUAUAUUUCUGGUUUCCUUGGCAUGUCUCAUGAUAGCCUAUCUAACCAAAAUCACCAAAGCUGCCUCUUUUCUUUCCACUGGUUUCUUCACCUAUUAAGAAUCAACACUGAGAUAAUCCUCUCUAAGAAGCCUACUCUGUCUUUUCCAGGUUGAAUUAGGAGCCCUUUCUCUGACCUAGACUAAUGUGUGUAUAUUGCUUUAACACACUUAUCAAAUUCUAUCCAAUUCAUGUGUUUAUCACUAGCUUGUUAGUGCUUUGUGAUCAAAGACUGUGUGUUCAUUUAUGUAUCCCCAAUAUUUAGCAGUGUCCAGUGUAUAGCAGGUGUUUAUUAAUUGUGGUGAAUGAAUGAGGUAAUGAGUGAAUCAAUGGACCAUUCUGAGUUCAAUAUGACAAGGAAUGGAAAACACACUGAGGACAUCAUGACACGGCAAAGUUCACAGCACAUUGUGUAAGCAUUACAGGUAGAGAAAUCACCGAUGAGCUGAUUCCUCCUCUUUACAAGUUCUCUGGCCAGAAAUAUAUCAGGCCACAUUUAUUUAACAGAUUUCAAAACAACUAAGUGAUACUGAAUAUAGCAACCCCUUUAGUUGGUUAUUAUUUACUUAGUUGCUCACAUACACCCACAUAUCCCUGCUUUGUUUCACAGAGGACUUGAGAUCAGGAUGCGGAAUGCAUACAUUGUAAAUUUAGCUUUUCUAUAUGAAAGGACAGCUUUACAUAAGCUUUUAAAAUAUAGAAUGAGAAUUGAGGUUUUAAAACAUGAAGUUUUGUCUUGAGAGAUCAGCUUUUGUUGGGUGGUAUAAUUUUGCAGAUAUUAGCAUAAACACUCCAGCAAAGCCAAGAUGUUGGGGAUGGGAAAAAGGUGGCAGGGAGCCAAAAGAAAGUAUUGUAAUUUGGUCGAAAUUAACAGGCAGCUGUUAGGUCAUCUCUAAGCUACCACUUAAGUAUGCUGAAAAUUCGGGGUGGGUUGAAACCAGAGUCAAUUCCAAUAAAAUGUGGUUAGUUAAAUGGUCAACAUGGUUAAAAUAAUGUACCAAAUAGCUAAAUAAGGAGUUUGACAUUUACAGUUGCAGAAGAGGGAAAGGUUACUAUGGUGGAUAUGAAUUCUCUUCAACUAGCAGUUUCCUCAUCUGUACGUGGGGUUCGUAAAGUUAUCUUGCUGGGAGAGUAUGAAAGUUGGGCACCUAGCAAGUCCAAAUACAUAGUAACGAGGAAACAUGGCAGACGACGUGGACCAGCAACAAACUACCAACAUUGUAGAAGAGCCCCUGGAUCUCAUCAGGCUCAGCCUGGAUGAGCAAAUUUAUGUGAAAAUCAGAAAUGACAGAAAGCGGGCGCCUGGAAAGCUUCGAGGCAGAUUACAUGCUUAUAAUCAGCAUUUAAAUAUGAUAUUCGGAGAUGUGGAAGAAACUGACUACUAUAGAAAUUGAUGAGGAAACAUACGAAGAGAUAUAUAAAUCAACAAAACGGAGUAUUCCAAUGCUUUUUGUCUGGGGACAUGGUGUUGUACUAGUUGCCCCUCCAUUAAGAGCUGGCUGAAACAAAGAAUUUACCAUGUAUGGAAUAUAGGAGCUUUUGUAUGAUUGCCUCUUUAAAUGUAGAAGACAUUCAAAAGAGAAACCUGUGUAAAUUUUGAUAUUAAGAAAUGACCAAGGAUUCUUCCACUCCUGAAAUGAGUUGACUGGCAGAUAACUCAAAAAUUCUUAAGCUAAAGGGCAUUUUAAUUUUUUUCCAACCCUUUCAAUAAAUGUGAUCACCAAGAUGCAGGGGAAAAAAAAAAAACAAAACAAAAAACAAAUACAUAGUAAUGAAUAACCUUAUUGCAGAUGUUCUAUCUGAUGCGCUCCAGCUCUACCAAAAGAAAUUAACCUGCUGAGGUCAGCAAACAAGUUUGUGGUUCUUUAUUGCUGGAGCCACCCAGGAAUCCUUUAUUCACUAGGAACUUUAUCACUCACACUGUUAAUUACGAAAUAUAUGCAAACAUGCAUUUGAUGAGAAAAAUAAUUUCAACAUUGAACCACCAUUUUGAACCCUUUUGGUGAAGUUUGGAUGCUAUGAUUUAAAAAAAUAAAAUUAAUAUAAAUUUGCUUGAGUAAAACAUGUUACCACCUGAAAGCACUGUCCAGGUAAUGCUUCUGCGACAAUGGAAAUAUUCUAUUCUGCUCUGUCCCCUAUGGUGGCCACCAGCCACAGUCAGCAGUUGAGCACUUGACAUGUAGCUAAUGAGAUUAAGGAACUGAUUUUAAAUUUUAAUUAACUUAAAAUGAUUAGCCAUGUGUGAUUAGUGGCUAUCAUAUUAGCAUAGAUUUCUACAAGGUUAGUUUAUUAAACAAAUAAGUAAAAUAUAAAACAUUUCAGAUGAUAAUAAGCACCAUGUAGAAAAAGCCAGGAAGGGGAGAUCAUGAUGUCCUUGUGAAAUUUUAAAAUAUUUUAGUGUCCUGAUUUAUUGUGAAUGUAUAGGCCGUUUACCGAUGUUCCAUUUUCAAUCAUAAAAAUAUUUUCUACUCAAAAAAAGUAGGAGCAUUUUUUUUCUUUUUUUUUUUAUCACAAGUGAUAUUUUUGUGACAAACUUAUAAGGAACAAAUUUGAUUUUUUUCCAACAAUGCCUUGGUAUCUAUGUUUAUUUUAGUUUAGUCAGUCUUGUGGCAACUUUUCUAUCGUGUCUUGAAACCGAGUGGAAGGCAGAUUGCAACUUUUGCAUUCCACUUUUGGAAAGUUGUUAUACAGUCUAACCCAGGUAAGAUAUAUAAAAAUAUAUACCUUUAUCAUCAUAAGAUUGCAAAGCAGUUGAUAUAUUUCUGGGACUGUGUCUGUUAAAAAGUAAAAGAAUGUUUCAUUUGGGGACAUUAAGACUCAGUAUUUCAUAAAAAUAGACAAAAGUAAAUCAGACUCUGUGAACUUAUCAUAUUUGAAAUAACACAGAGCUUUUAAUAUUAUCAAAUAAAGUAGACCUCCAGGAAGCUUCAGAUGACUAUAUAAUUUUCCAAGUUAAUGUUAAAAAAGAAAAGUCAGUUUUGAUUGGGAGCUAUACUGAAACUCCGACUGGGCCAACUGGGAAACUAGGCUAUCAUAGUGAUUGUGAUAUGUAAUAUAUUCCUUAAACUUUAUUGAUUUUCUAUAGUUCAGUACAAAUGAGCUCAAAGCACUUCAUGUAUUUUAUCUCAUUUGUCCUCACAACAUUUCUGUAAGAUAGGUAGGGGGGCAACUGUAAUUAAAGAUUAGAUGUGUCAGUUUUCCAUUGUUACAGAAACGCAUUAAACUGGAACCUAUUCAGCCUGCCAACCAAGACAAUUAAGUAGUCGUUUCACUUAUCAAAGUACCAAUUACUUGAUUUUUUUUGUUACAUCAUAAUUUUCUCUCAAACUAAUCCUGCAUCUUCCAUAAUUUCAAAGUUCAACACUAGUAGUACUUCUUGGGAACAGUAUUUUGGGAGGCUUUCUUUUGUGAAAUUUCCUAAAUAAUUCUUCUCUUGUCACCAGCUCAAGUUCAUGCAUAGGGCGUUAGGGUAUGAAAACAAGUGCUCAUUUUUUUAAAGUCAAUAACAUAUGUUUGAGGCAUGUUAGGUAAUAUAACUAAUUGCAAACACUUCUUGCUUUGCCUCUUUUUUUUUUCUUAUUUACUUAGGUCCUCAAAACUGUGCUAUAUGGCCCAACUGCUUUUCAAACAAGUAACUACUCCAUCCCUAUUAUUUUAUAACAUUUAUAUUUAACAUUUAUAUUUAGCACACAAUGUUGAUGUGAAACAUUUUUUAAAUCAUAUAGGUAGUGAUCAUAAAAAAAUUCAGCUUUAAAGUUUUUCUACCAAAAAAAGUUAAUCACACCAUACAUCUUCUUUUUUACUACUUCUUUUUAAUUUCACAUUAUUUACCAUCUCUACCAGUAACUAGGAAAAAAAUAUUUCCUUCCAUUUGUGUGACAGAGACUGCUAGCUACUCACCAAAAAUCCAGGCUCCCCUCUUCUUCCUGUGCACACAGAUGGAGCAAAUUCCCCAGGCUCCCUUGUAGUUCGAUGCAGGUAGUGACUGUUUUUACCAGUGCCCUGUACGUGGGAGCAGUGGUGACUAACUCCAGGCCAUGUGUGCCUUCCUGUGAUUUUUUUAAUCUAACUAACUCAGAUGGAGAUGAUGCUCAAGGUGACUUUGUAAACAACAUGUUGAAGACAUCAGCGUCACCAUCAGCCUAGGUCUUUGAAUGACUUUGUGGAGGAAAAUCAUGCUGCCAUUUUGUUCCCCUCCCCAGCACAAUAUAGCAAAUGUCUAUUGUAAGGGAGCCAUUAUACAUCCCGGGGUAUAUUCAUUACAGCAGUUAGCCUGGGAUAACUACUACACCACUUAAAAUGUGUAUUAUCACAAGAAUACAAAUAUUCAAGAGAAGCUUAACAAGUGAGGUAGAUAUAAAACUACGGGCAAAUAUUUAUUCAGAUAAAUCCCACUGGCCACAAACUACCAGAACACAAAGCCAGGAAGCCAAGGGAUUACUUACUGGGUUAAAAUUGCCUAGAAACUUGUGUGAGCAAGAUGUACACUUUAUAAAUAAGACCCAGAACUGCAUAUAUAUUUUUCUAGCCCUAGUUUUUCCACAGUAUGUGUCCGGUUGAUACCAAACCUUACUCAAAUAUCUUACCUAAUACCGACAUUUUUGUAGAACCUGAUUUGGAAUAUAUAAGUGAAAAAAAGGAUGAAAUAUGAAAAAUGGAUAUCAAAAUCUGAAGCAGUGAAAUAGGAGCAUCAGAAGAAAAUUGGAUCAUGAAAUGGAGUUCCUGAACAGGAAGGAAAUUAGAACAUGCUUAUAAGGACUAUGUUGAAUUAGAAAUAUGUGAAAAUAUAGCUGCUCGAGGAAGUGGCAUGGGAGGAUCAAUCAAGAAAAAGGAAUAUAAAAAGAACACAUUAUGGAAAUGGGGAAGGAAAAGAAAUAAAAGAAGAACACAUAGUAUAUUGAGUAUAAAUUUUUAAGCUCUAAGGGUGAGAAAGGGCAAAAAGGAAAAUAAAGCUGAGUGAAUUAAUGUUGGUUAAAAGGGGUAAGUGGAAUCAAAGGGGGCUCUUAAAAUUAUAUCAGGUGAAAAAGAAAUACUAGAAAGAAAGUGGAUCCAUAAAUAACCUGAAAAUGGAUGGAAUCAAUAAUGUUUAAAUGGUUGAACUACUCAACUUUAAAAUGUUUUAACUAAAAUAAUGAAAGUUAUGGAAAAUUAUUAAGUUAUGAAGAGCUAUAAAUAUGGCUAAUGAUAAAAUUAAGUAAAAGAAUAUUAGAAUGAUUAAGUUGGUCAGGAGUUCUGAUGAUAUGUAUCAUGAGGAUCAGAGGGUUUCUCUAAUUAAUUUGCCAUCCCCUGUGUCUUAUUUUUAAAGAAAUCAUAGAUAAUGAAGAAACUAGCAAAAAAUAAAAGGCAAAAGUAAAUGUGAUGCACUCUUAAAAAUGUAGUUUUAUUAAUUGUGAAAAUGAUUAUAGUUGGUUUUAAUCAAGCAAAAUCAUAAUAUACAUUAAGCAAAUGUUUUGGAUGGAAGAGAUGAAAUGUUUAAUGAAAGAAAAGAUUAUCAAAUUUUGAUCAAGACAUUUAAAUUUUCUAUAAUUUUAUUUGAUCUAUGGGCUAUUCAUAGUUUAUUUUGUUCAGAAUAAAUUUAGUAACAUAGAAAAUUAUUGGGAGCUCAUCAGAACACAGAUGUUCUAUAUUCUCAUAUAUAUACAAAUAUAUAUUAAAGAAAUACUUACAAACAUAAGUAAUAUAUAUAAAUAUAAUCAUAUAAAAACAUGUAUGUUUCAAGGUAUAUAUUUUUGAUUACCAUUAUUUACUAAGUUCAAACAAUAAAACUAGAUCUUUAGGAAUGUAUGACACCAUUCUGAAUGUGUGUCACGUACAUAACAAAUAUAAAUUAUUGUUAGAAGUAUUUUAUUAAGCCAAGAACUUUAAAAUGUAAGGAUUAUAAAAAGAAGCAUGUCCAUCACCAAUAAAUUACUCAUCAGUAUUCAGUUGUGUUGCCUACAUGGUGACUCUACCCUAUCGGUUGUCCUCCCCCUACACUGAUCUUUUUUUUUUUCAUUUUUCACAAGGGUCAGGCUUUGCUCUGCCCAGGGCUUAUGCAUAUGCUGUUUAUCCCUGUAUACUUAACCCCCUCUGACUAUGCACCUCCACUCUUUCCUUGACCUAAGCAUUUUGAACUCUUCCUUCAUAUCUUAGGCAAAGCAUGACUUCUCUCAUGGAAGUCUCUCAUGACUUCAACCAGGUCAAUUAACCCUGUACCUAUUACCCUGCAUUACAACCAAAGACACAUCAUACUUUAAAAAAAAAAAGACGUAGAUGUUGAUAUGAUUGUUACUGUUGAAAGGAACCUGAAACUUCAAUACAUUCUAUCUCAAAUAUUAGAAUAUUUUUCUAUCUUUCAUGUUUUCUUUAUAGACCUAUUAAAUGUACUCACCAGUGAAAAGGUCUUUUAAAAGUUAUAAUAAGCACAAAAUUCACAUAAGCACUGUGGCUGACAUGGAAACUUAAUACAAUUCCGUUUUUUCUUCAUUGAUGGAAAUAACUGAGUUAUUAAGAUUUGAUUACUAAGAUUCUCAUAACAAAGCAAUUCUUUGGCCAACAGUUACAGCUCUGUCAUUAUUGCUGGCUAAACAAGUUGAAAGCUAUUAAUCAGAGGCAUGAGUAAGUUGUUCUUGGUGUGGUGGUGGUGGUGUGGUAAAGAAUGAAGAUGAUUGUGAUAAAUACUCCAUCAUGGAAUCUUUUGUAUAGUAUUUUUAAAAAAUAGUGACUAGAUGAAAACUGAAUAUCCUAUUCUGGGAUCGUUUAUUAAUUUCAACAUUUCAAGCUGUACAUGUAGUCAAAUAAGCUAUUACAUCAAGAGGCAUAUUUUCCUUUUUAACCUGGAGACUUGCAUGCAAGUUAGAUGAAACAGCAGGUUGCCAAUGAUCUAGAGGAUGCAGAAUGAAAGAAAGAAAAAGUGAAACAGAUGAUUCAUCCCAUCAGCUUCCUGAAGGUCUUUAGACUUACCCUUGUAAUGCCAUCCUUAGAACUAGCAAGCAAGAGCACUUCGGAGCUUUUAGCCAUCUUCAUAUCCUGCACACCACAGAACAAUCGGGAGGAACCUGGAUAGCCUUAAAGUAGUGUGCAAGAACAGCACAUGACACAGACUUCAAUGAGGAGACCAGAGAGAAGUUCUGGUCUUCACCUUGACAUUGCUCAAUUCUCUCACCCUUGGUCUGACAGUUGUCUCUCUACACUUAAGUUUCUUCACCUGUAAAAAUGUGUUAAAGCUAAUAAUAAAAAUAGCUCACAGUUUGCAACUGUAUGAUUGAUGUCUGCUUCACCAGAGUGCUAUGUCAAAAUGAUGUGCCUUAUUUAAGCCUCAAAAUAAGCCAGUGUUGUUAUUAUUCCCCCGUAUUGGGGUUGAGGAAAUGGAGAUUUAGCAUACAGUUAUCACCAGAGUCCAAACCUUUAGUCUUGGAAUACUACCAUAGGCCACACUUGGUGCCCAGUCUACCAAGGAGGAUAGAGGGCAGGAACCAUGAGCUUCAGCGCUAGAGAUUCCUGCUCAGUGGGAGUCCUUGCAGGGGUCUCUCCGGCAGGCUAUUUAGCUGCUGUUUUGCUGCCCAGGAGACCUCUUCUCCCCAUAUGGCAAAUCAGUGCAAGGAGACGAGACUCAUGUUGGCACUUGUGGGAGCAGCCGAGUCUAAAGCCUCCUGACCGCACAGGAACUAUUAUCUCUUACAAUAUUUCAUAUGCAGAAUUUCCAGGGACACAUCAGUUACAAGAGUCACCAAACUCUGGGAAGCCCAAAGUUUGGUCUCCUCAUCACGUAUUCAGUAGUUCACUUAUAGUCCUUCCAGCUGAGUUUCAAUUUACCAAUCAGUGGUCUUUUUUUCCACAAGCAAUACUACAUAGUAACAUAGUUAAAACUUCAACUUUUACCAGGGAACCCUAUCUAGAAGUUAAACUCGAGUUAAUUUUACAUGAAAAGGGAAAAUAAUUUUAUUAAUCUUUUACAUACCAGUAACUUUUCCAGUCAUGGAGCUAAUAGGCAGAGGAGCUGGUAUUGGCCCUAAUCGAUCAGACUCUAAAGCCUCUAAUCAAUAUUCUUGUUCCCCUCGCCUUGCUAACUACCCCACAGCUACACUAGCCUUCUUUUUGUUUAUCGAACACUUGAAGCUUAUUCCUACUCCCUGAUUCCUUUGUCCUCUCCCCUGAAUGCUGUUCCCCUGCUAUUCACAUAGUGGCUUCUUCAUUCAGGGUUAGCUCAAAUACCCCCUCCUCCAGGAGAUUUUUUUUGAACACCUUCAUUUUUUUCAACCACGUUCUCCUUCCCCACAACUACCUAGUAAUUUCCUGUUGCAUUGCAAUGUUUUGUUUCCUUUCUGACACUUCACCCUCUGAAAUUAUCAUGUUAAAUGUUCUACUUAUUUAUUGUCUACUUCCCCUCACAAAGAUGUAAACCUCAUAGCCUAGUAAUUGGAGUUAACUUGCUUAUUGUUGUUUCACUAGUACCUAGAAUUGUCCCUGGCACAUGAUGGGCGUAGAGUUAUUGAUUGAUUGAAAAAUGAUGCUCUCCUAUCCAAUUUCUCUCAUACAACUCUUAUGAAAUUCAGAUAAGGAUAUCCAAACAUGUUUUUAUUUCUUAAUAACUUAAAAAUAAAAAUUUUAAUUCUGCCCAAAUAACAAACCAAAACUGCCUUUAGACAAAACGUCAAGGCAAAAGCUUAAUCUUCAUUCAAAAACACUUUUAUUAUACAUUGAUUAUGUAGAAGUCAUGCUGUUUUAGGGUCUGUAGUGGACACCAAAGAAAUAAAAUCAUGAAUCUCUUAUGUACUUACCAAAUUAUAUUUCAUUUCAUUCUUUACAGAUUCUCUGUAGUUGGCGUCUAAACUGAUUAAGGCCUUGAAAAGUGUUUGAUUAGUUUUUAUGAUGCUAACGUCUAGAACAGUGGAUUCAAAAGUCAGAUGCAAGUAGCUCAGUGAAAAAAAAUUAUUAGAAUUUCUAUUCUUUUUCAUUUUUAUUUCUCUAUUUUUAAAAAUUGUCUAAUUUAUGUUUAUGUUAUGAAGACUAUACAGAAUUCAUGUAGUAAAAAUGCAUAAAAUUUAUAAAUAAAUAUCUGUUAGGAUGCAUGCUCAAAAUUUUGCUUAUGGGCUGUGUAACUGCAGUAAAAAAAAAACAAAGAUCAUUGGAAUGAAAGCUUCAGACAUAUAACAGGUAUUUUUAUUAUUUCAUAAUUCAUAUAAAUGAAUUAUUGAUCAGAUUCUUACAAAUGGGGUGUGGACAAGUACUUAAUUCAAUUAUAUCUUAAAUGCUUUAUGAAGGAUGCAGAACACCUUCCUUCAGAAUAUGGAAAAGGAAAAGAUAACUUUUGCCUGUGGAAAGGCAUAGGAUUGAAACUGGCAUUUACCUUGUAAUAUGGAUAUGAUUUACUAAAGUUCAGAUAAAGAGGAUGCUCAUUCUAGGAUCUAUUGCAAGCAAACAGAAAAAUAGGACCAAGCCUCUUGUGUUCAA